GCCAAAACUUUAAACCCACCACACAACCACAAAAUAUUUUACCACACAACCAAACCAUUUACCAAAGCCAGUAAAUGAGAUUAAAAACUGCCUUUAGGCGAAUAUAAUUAGUACCGUAAGGGAACAAUGAAAAAACAAUGAAAACUUAAGCAAAACACAGCAAAGAUCUACCCUUGUACCUCUUGCAUCAUGGUUUAGCAAACGCCCACAGACAAAGAGAACUUAAGCCUGCCACCCCGAAACUAAACGAGCUAUUUUAAAGCAGCAAUAACCAGAGCGAACCCGUCCCUGUAGCAAAAGGGUGGGAAGACUUAAAAAUAGAGGUAAAAGACCAACCGAGUUUAGUGAUAGCUGGUUGCUCAACAAAAGAAUUUAAGUUCAACUUUAGGCCAAAAAGAAUCAACAAAAAGCAACAAAUUAAGCCAAAAGACAUUCAAUGGGGGUACAGCCCCAUCGAGCCGGCAUACAGUCCGAAUUGAGAGAACGAACACUACUAACUAACCAGUGGGCUUCUAGGCAGCCAUCAACAAAUAAUCGCGUUACAGCUAACCUUAACAAAUCCCAUUAAAAAUCUCACUCUCCAAAAACAUAUGAGCUAUUCUAUAACCAUAUAGAAAUACCAAUGCUAAAACUAGUAAUAAGAACAAAAUCUCUUAAGCACCCCCUUAAGUCAGAAAGGAAAAACCACUGAUAAUUAACAAACACCAACAACCACUAAUAAACCAAAAUGUCAUAUACUCUGUUAAACCGACACAGGAGUGCAAAAAAGAAAGACAAAAAGCUGCAAAAGGAACUCGGCAAAAAAAGUCUCAACUGUUUACCAAAAACAUAGCCUUUAGCUUUACAAGUAUUAAAGGUCCCGCCUGCCCAGUGAUAUUUUAAACGGCCGCGGUAUCCUAACCGUGCAAAGGUAGCAUAAUCACUUGUCCCCUAAAUAGGGACUGGAAUGAACGGCUACAUGAAGACUUUACUGUCUCUUGCUGCUAGUCAAUGAAACUGAUCUCCCAGUACAAAAGCUGGGAUAACCUCAUAAGACAAAAAGACCCUGUGGAGCUUUUAAACCAAGUACACCAAAAUGUUCUACCACGGUUUUUAGUUGGGGCGACUUCGGAACAAAAUAAAACUUCCGAAACCAUGGAAUCAUACCCAUAUUUAAGGCCAACACGCCAAGAUUAGCCAUCUAUUUGACCCAGUUUACCACAUACUGAUCAAUGAACCAAGUUACCCCAGGGAUAACAGCGCCAUCUUCUUUUAGAGUCCAUAUCGACAAGAAGGUUUACGACCUCGAUGUUGGAUCAGGACACCCAAAUAGUGCAGCCGCUAUUAAAGGUUCGUUUGUUCAACGAUUAAUAGUCCUACGUGAUCUGAGUUCAGACCGGAGAAAUCCAGGUCGGUUUUUAUCUAUGACGCACUAUUUUCAGUACGAAAGGACCAAAAUAGCAGGACCUAUAUCAAAACACACGUCCUAGAACUCAAAUAAUUGAAAUAAUCUAAAAUUAACUAACACACCUCAUCCUCCCCAAAACCAGGGCUU
rnacentral:rRNA from 1 species